rnacentral:rRNA from 1 species
UACGUAGGGGGCAAGCGUUAUCCGGAUUUACUGGGUGUAAAGGGAGCGUAGGCGGCUUAGUAAGUCAGAAGUGAAAGCCCGCAGCUCAACUGCGGGACUGCUUUUGAAACUGCCAGGCUAGAGUGUCGGAGAGGUAAGUGGAAUUCCUAGUGUAGCGGUGAAAUGCGUAGAUAUUAGGAGGAACACCAGUGGCGAAGGCAGCUCACUGGACUGCAACUGACACUGAGGCUCGAAAGUGUGGGUAUCAAACAGG